AAAGUGUCGCUAUCUUUUAACAAAAUUUUCCUAGGGCACAAAACCCUUUCACACAAAUUAACUCACUCCCUCUCUUCCUCUAUGCUGCUCAUUGCUACACAAAAUAUUCCCAAGGCACAAAUUAACUCACUCACUUUCUUCCUCUUUGCUGCUCAUUGCUACACAUACAGAGCAGGCCUUCUGUGGGAAAAGAACCGAUCGAGCUCAUCUUCCUCUUUGUUGAUCGUUGUGUGUUUCUCUCUGGGAAGAAAUUCGUUCGAGCUCAUCUUCCUCUUUGCAGAUCGUUUCUACUUGUUGCUAUGUGGAAAGCUUGUUUUAUUGUUGUUGGUUCAUCAAAAGAUAACAAUAGUUUCUAUUAAUGUCUAAAAUUUUAUGAUUAUUUCAUCUCUGUUUCAUCUAUAAUACUCUUCAUCACCUUUUUCUGAUUUUAUAGUUAUGGUGACAAUAAAGUACCUAUUAUCUAUCCUAAUUUUUGCAUUUAUAUUUAUCUUGUUGAAUGAUCUAUUUUUUUUUUCUUAUUGUGGGUAAAAAUGCUCUUUUUCUGUUUUUGUCAAGGUACAAUAUAUUGUUAAAAAUGUGCUAUUAUAUCUUCAAUAAGUUUGGUUUAUAGACUAUUUUGGAUGCAAAUUUCUGCUUAGUGAAUCAUACUAAACUUAAUGCUUUAUGAUGUUGUAAUACUUGGUUAUAUGUCAAUUCCAAUAGUAGCAAACUAUUGUAUUAAUCAUGCGAAGGUAAAGUUCUUUUUUGUGCUCUGAGUAUGAAAGUUAGGUAUUUGAGAAUAUCAUUCUUCAACUAGUUUUAAAUUCUGAAAGGUAGAUUCACAUUCUGUGUGAAGAUUGUAUCCUGCCUUGUGUUUUCUCCCAAAAUGGUUAGACCAUCAACAAUGUUGUUCACUUUCCAAAGGUGUAGUUUUCUUGAAUCUUCAAGUAAUUGAUGUCCCUAAUGAUAUGAUCUACUUGUCAAGAAACAUCAGAGUUCGUAUGAUCAUGCUAAUGAUAAUUAAAGAGCCAUAACUUUACUUGAGAUAUUCAAUAUAAUAGUAGAUAUGAAUCCAUUCUUGCUUUAGUUGUACAGUAGGAUAUGUAGAAGUGAUGUUGCUGAUCAGUUGGCUUCAUUGUAACAGAAUGAUGGUCUGAUUUCUUGAGUUCUGAUGGAAUUCAAUAUUUGUCUCCAUCAACUAUUUGUUAGUUUCUAGUGUGCUUUUGAUUUUGAAUUUUCCCCUAGAAAAUAUGACUUUCCAUAAAAAAAAAAUCUUAGACUUAAGUACUGGACUAUUAACACUGAAUUAGUGCUGCAUGAACUAAAGCAUUGAGAGAAAAGAAAGUUCGAGAGUAGUAGAGGGUGACUAUUAGUUGUUUGAUGCUUAGCUACUCCAUUUGGGUUAACAGAAGUAUUGUGAUUGCAAGUUGCAGUGUAAUGAUCUGCAAUGUAGCUACUCCAGUUGGAUAAGUUCUUUUUUUUCCUUCUCUUCUUUGGGAAUGUAUAGGCUUAUGCAUACUUGAAGUUAUUUUUCUUUUAGGCAUGACGUGAAGCGGAGGUCGAGGUAACACAACUCGUGCAAGCAAGACCUCAAUUACAGGUCGAGUUAGAACAAGUAGAGUUUAUAUGCCUACUGUUCCAAUUCCCAUAACUAAUUCUCAACAAGGUGGUAUCAAUUCUUCUGCUGGACCAGAUUAUGUUAACCAAAAUCAAACAUUAGCUCCUACUAAUUCGCCUCCUGCUCAAACAACAGCUCAUGGUAGUACUCCAUCUGUUCAUUUUGAAACACCUCAUGUAAUAUCUAAUAAGAGCAAUGGAAUAGGCUAAAGUGCAUCUACUCAAAGAAACGUGAUAGGGGAGGUGCCUACAUCUAGCCAGAACAACACAAUAGGUGAAGGUGAGAGUAAUAAUAAUUCUGGACAGCGGACACUUGAUUUCCUUUCGGGAUAGGGGAGUCUUCCAAGAGUAAACUUGAUCCUAAUGGAAUUAAUUGAAAACUGUCUCACAAGAAAUAAAAGAUUUUUAUCUCAGAGAAUUCGAGAAGGAAUUUCGUUAGGAUUCUUCCAUUGAUAGUGAAGUGAAGAUACUAUGGUGUAAGAAAGUUGCGAGAAGGUACACUGAUUUCUUGCUUAAAAAAAGAUGGAGUUCGGCCAAGAUAUGUUCCGAAAGAAACAUGGAAAAGUUGGUUGAGACUUUGGAAAGAUCCCAAGGUUAUUGAAAAGUAAAAAAAAAAAAAUAAACUCAAAAAUUCAGUGUGGCGGUCAAAAUGAAGUUGCAAAGGGGACUGACACGGGAGACUCUAUUACUAUUGGAGAGCAUUGCAAGAGACUUGUAACUAUAUUUUCGCACACCCUUAAUUUAUUUUAUAUGUGUGAUAUUAACCCUUUUGAAUGUUGAAGUGCCUUGUAUUAUGUUUGCAAUCCCACAAUUCGAGACUAGAAAAUGCUUCCUCCUUAAUACUUUCAUGGGAAAGAACAAACAGUUCUUCUUGCAUUUGAGCCUUCUCUUUGUAACAUUGAGACAUAUCAUCAUAUUAUUUGUGCAUUUCCUACAAUUGUUCAACCAA